rnacentral:rRNA from 1 species
GACGAACGCUGGCGGCGUGCCUAAUACAUGCAAGUAGAACGCUGAAGGAGGAGCUUGCUUCUCUGGAUGAGUUGCGAACGGGUGAGUAACGCGUAGGUAACCUGCCUGGUAGCGGGGGAUAACUAUUGGAAACGAUAGCUAAUACCGCAUAAGAGUAGAUGUUGCAUGACAUUUGCUUAAAAGGUGCAAUUGCAUCACUACCAGAUGGACCUGCGUUGUAUUAGCUAGUUGGUGGGGUAACGGCUCACCAAGGCGACGAUACAUAGCCGACCUGAGAGGGUGAUCGGCCACACUGGGACUGAGACACAGCCCAGACUCCUACGGGAGGCAGCAGUAGGGAAUCUUCGGCAAUGGAAGGAAGUCUGACCGAGCAACGCCGCGUGAGUGAAGAAGGUUUUCGGAUCGUAAAGAUCUGUUGUAAGAGAAGAACGAGUGUGAGAGUGGAAAGUUCACACUGUGGCGGUAUCUUACUAGAAAGGGACGGCUAACUACGUG